UAAGCGGAGGAAAAGAAACUAACAAGGAUUCCCCUAGUAACGGCGAGUGAAGCGGGAAGAGCUCAAAUUUGUAAUCUGGCGGCCUUUGGCCGUCCGAGUUGUAGUCUCGAGAAGCGUCUUCUGCGUCGGACCGUGUACAAGUCCCUUGGAACAGGGCGUCGUAGAGGGUGAGAAUCCCGUCUUUGACACGGACUGCCGGUGCUCUGUGAUGCGCUCUCAAAGAGUCGAGUUGUUUGGGAAUGCAGCUCAAAACGGGUGGUAAAUUCCAUCUAAAGCUAAAUAUUGGCGAAAGACCGAUAGCGAACAAGUACCGUGAGGGAAAGAUGAAAAGCACUUUGGAAAGAGAGUUAAACAGUACGUGAAAUUGCUGAAAGGGAAACGCUUGAAGUCAGUCGCGUCUCCCGGGAUUCAGCCGUGCCCCUGUCGGGGCGCGGUGUACUUCCUGGCUGUGACGGGCCAGCAUCGAUUUUGGCCGUCGGAGAAAGGCCUUGGGAAUGUGGCACCUUCGGGUGUGUUAUAGCCCUGGGUCGCAUGCGACGGUCGGGAUCGAGGACCGCAGCACGUUUCUUCUUCCUUCGCGGGAAAGGGGCUCGGGGUUCGCCCACGCAAACGUUGCUUAAGAUGCUUGGCGUAAUGGCUUUAACGACCCCGCU
rnacentral:rRNA from 1 species